GCUGCGACACCACUUGCACUAGUCGUCCUGUGGGUAUGAGCUGGCCGCCGUAGCCAAAGCCGGCUCCAUUUACCACUUGCACCUGGCCAGAGAGCAGAUGUCAGAAUGCUGCUGGUCUUGUGACAGGGCUUAUAUCAGGACAUUUGCACCAAAAUUCAUAAGCCAGGCAGCUCUUCUGGUGUAUCAGAAAUGCACAAGAUCACUAAAUCAGCCAAAAGAGCGUGACAAGACAGGAUAUGAAGAUUCAACAGCUUCCUGAAGUCCUUGGGAGUCAAGGAUACAACACACCUGGGCUCUGCUGAACGGUGCUGAAACAACCAAGAACGCAAAGAGAAUGAUUGCGCCAUUGACCUGCGAGAAUACAAGGGCUUGUUUCAAGGCUUCAAAGGCAGCUUCCCAUGUACUUGCAGAACCAAGUCACGCGCCAGGCAAGUGCGACAUGUACCAGGGACAUCCAGGAGACUUCUACAAUCAAAAUUUGCGCAUUGCCAUCAUCCACACGCGAUCUUCAUGGAAGAUUAUUCACGGUGCUAGGGUCAAUUCAAAGGGUCAAAGGGCUGACCGAGCUUCUAUGAAUGCUCCGUGCUGAGCAGCUGCACUCGUUGCUUGUCAACAUUUCAGCUCACGCCCGCAAACUGUCCACCUUACAGAGCAAAGGUCCCGAAAGAGGGAGCAAGUCCUUGUGGGCACCCCUGACUCACAAGCUUGUCAGCUUGCGGCAGUAAGGAAUCUUGGCCGUUGCGUCACUCACGCGCUUCUCCCUCGGCUUUUAGUGGGUCAAGCUGUUACAGUGUAUGGUAACAAAGUGUUUAGGAUGCUGUGCCUGUUGU
rnacentral:lncRNA from 1 species